rnacentral:rRNA from 1 species
ACGAACGCUGGCGGCCUGCCUAACACAUGCCAGUCGCACGAGACCUUCGGGUCUAGUGGCGCACGGGUGCGUAACGCGUGGGAACCUGCCCUUAGGUUCGGAAUAACUCCCCGAAAGGGGUGCUAAUACCGGAUAAUGUCUUCGGACCAAAGAUUUAUCGCCUUUGGAUGGGCCCGCGUUGGAUUAGCUAGUUGGUAGGGUAAAAGCCUACCAAGGCGACGAUCCAUAGCUGGUCUGAGAGGAUGAUCAGCCACACUGGGACUGAGACACGGCCCAGACUCCUACGGGAGGCAGCAGUGGGGAAUAUUGGACAAUGGGCGAAAGCCUGAUCCAGCAAUGCCGCGGGAGUGAUGAAGGCCUUAGGGUUGUAAAGCUCUUUACCCGGGAUGAUAAUGACAGUACCGGGAGAAUAAGCGCCGGCUAACUCCGUG